rnacentral:rRNA from 1 species
ACUCAAAGGAAUUGACGGGGGCCCGCACAAGCGGUGGAGCAUGUGGUUUAAUUCGACGCAACGCGAAGAACCUUACCUACUCUUGACAUCCUCGGAAUUUUGCAGAGAUGCGAAAGUGCCUUCGGGACCCGGGAGACAGGUGCUGCAUGGCUGUCGUCAGCUCGUGUCGUGAGAUGUUGGGUUAAGUCCCGUAACGAGCGCAACCCUUAUCAUUAGUUGCCAGCGAGUAGUGUCGGGAACUCUAAUGAGACUGCCGGUGAUAAGCCGGAGGAAGGCGGGGACGACGUCAAGUCAUCAUGGCCCUUACGAGUAGGGCUACACACGUGCUACAAUGGGCGGUACAGAGGGAAGCGAAGCAGCGAUGUGGAGCGAAUCUUUUGAAAGCCGCUCGUAGUCCGGAUUGGAGUCUGCAACUCGACUCCAUGAAGUUGGAAUCGCUAGUAAUCGCAGAUCAGAACGCUGCGGUGAAUACGUUCUCGGGCCUUGCACACACCGCCCGU